rnacentral:rRNA from 1 species
UUGGAGGGCAAGUCUGGUGCCAGCAGCCGCGGUAAUUCCAGCUCCAAUAGCGUAUAUUAAAGUUGUUGCAGUUAAAAAGCUCGUAGUUGAAUUUCGGGGUUUAUCCGUUGGUCGGGCUUUUGGGUCUGUACUGGCGUGAUGAAUUCCUACCUUCUGAAUAACCAGCAUGUCAUUAAUUUGGUGCGCCGGGGAAGCAGGACUGUUACCUUGAAAAAAUUAGAGUGCUUAAAGCAGGCUAUUGCCUGAAUACAUUAGCAUGGAAUAAUGAAAUAGGACGGCAUGGUUCUAUUUUGUUGGUUUCUAGGAUCACCGUAAUGAUUAAUAGGGAUAGUUGGGGGCAUUAGUAUUCAAUUGUCAGAGGUGAAAUUCUUGGAUUUAUUGAAGACUAACUUCUGCGAAAGCAUUUGCCAAAGAUGUUUUCAUUAAUCAAGAACGAAAGUUAGGGGAUCGAAGACGAUCAGAUACCGUCGUAGUCUUAACCAUAAACUAUGCCGACUAGGGAUCGGACGAUGUUAAUUUUUUAAUGACUCGUUCGGCGCCUUACGGGAAAC